CAUUACCGAGUUUACAACUCCCAAACCCAAUGUGAACGUUACCAAACUGUUGCCUCGGCGGGAUCUCUGCCCCGGGUGCGUCGCAGCCCCGGACCAAGGCGCCCGCCGGAGGACCAACCAAAACUCUUUUUGUAUACCCCCUCGCGGGUUUUUUAUAAUCUGAGCCUUCUCGGCGCCUCUCGUAGGCGUUUCGAAAAUGAAUCAAAACUUUCAACAACGGAUCUCUUGGUUCUGGCAUCGAUGAAGAACGCAGCGAAAUGCGAUAAGUAAUGUGAAUUGCAGAAUUCAGUGAAUCAUCGAAUCUUUGAACGCACAUUGCGCCCGCCAGUAUUCUGGCGGGCAUGCCUGUCCGAGCGUCAUUUCAACCCUCGAACCCCUCCGGGGGGUCGGCGUUGGGGAUCGGCCCUCCCUUAGCGGGUGGCCGUCUCCGAAAUACAGUGGCGGUCUCGCCGCAGCCUCUCCUGCGCAGUAGUUUGCACACUCGCAUCGGGAGCGCGGCGCGUCCACAGCCGUUAAACACCCAACUUCUGAAAUGUUGACCUCGGAUCAGGUA
rnacentral:sRNA from 1 species